AUGUGUAAGAUUUCAGGGAGUGAAGAGAACAAAAGUUCUGUAAGUUCUAAGUGUGCUCCAUGUGUCCUUACUGUGCUGUUAAAAUCCGGUCAGGACCCGCUGAGGAGGCACGCCUGCCCUCUGCUGUCCCCCUCCACCUGCUCUGCCAGCGCUGACGGGGCAGCACAAGCUCAACAUUUCUGCAGUUACCUGACGUGGCACUUGUGCUGUGCGUAUUUCUUUCAUCUUGCAUGUUUCUUUUGCAGUUUCCAAGGCAAGGCUUACAACAGACACAGCAGCAACAACAGACAGCGGCGCUGGUCAGGCAGCUCCAGAAGCAGCUCUCUAGUAACCAGCCACAACAAGGAGUGAACCAGUACGGGCAUCCUUCACACUUCUGAAUCAGAGAUCGAAGGGAGGCGUCAUGUUAUGUUUGCACUGAAGAACAGAACAUUCAAAAUUCAAUGCACUAGUUAUUGCUAGAAAGCAGUCUUUAAUUUUCUUAUUAUUUCAAUAAUUAUUUUUUGUGCUCCAGUUGAUGUGAGUAUGUAACAAGGUGGGUUUUUUGGGUUUGGGGAUUUUUUUUUUUGCAUUUAACUAGAUUUAAAUGUAUGGACUUGUGGGCCUAUUUGAAGAAUGUUAUUGCAGAUUUUAUGAAUUUGGUGCUUUUUAGGUCCUGUUACUUUUAAAGGGGACAAAGAAUGCUGGAUUUAUUUAUUUGUGGGAAACACUUCUUUUGUUUUUUUAUUCUUGUUUCUGUUUUUUGUUGGUUUGUGUUGUUUUUUUUUAAAGAACUGCACUGGACCAAACUACUGAACUGAAAGGCACUUCCGAUUUUGGCAUAAAAGUUAAUUUGUUCAUUAAAAUGUUCACCUCUUUCUUUCUUGGUAGAAUGAGCAUCAAUUUAAAUUGUGUUUAUUUGACUGCAAUUUUCAUAUGCACUUUAUAAAGUUCUUUGUUUAAAGUACCAAUUUUCUCUUGCUCUUAUUGUGGUAAGAAGGUGCUGAAGUGGGUUUAUUGCUUGUAUUAGAACUUCUUAAAGUUUAUAUUAAAAGCCACAAUGUAAUGUUAAUAAACCUACUAGAAGUAGCAGUGUUU
rnacentral:lncRNA from 1 species